rnacentral:rRNA from 1 species
UACGUAGGGGGCUAGCGUUGUUCGGAAUUACUGGGCGUAAAGGGCUCGUAGGCGGCCAACUAAGUCAUACGUGAAAUCCCUCAGCUUAACUGGGGAACUGCGUGUGAUACUGGAUGGCUUGGAUUUGGGAGAGGGAUGCGGAAUUCCAGGUGUAGCGGUGAAAUGCGUAGAUAUCUGGAGGAACACCGGUGGCGAAGGCGGCAUCCUGGACCAAUAUUGACGCUGAGGAGCGAAAGCUAGGGGAGCAAACGGGG